GUGUUCACUUUGGCAGCAUAUAUACUAAAAUUGGAACCAUAUGAAGAAGAUUGGCAUGGCCCCUGCGCAAGGAUGACAUGCAAAUUUGUGAAGCACUACAUAUUUUU